AGGGUUUGAUCAUGGCUCAGGAUGAACGCUAGCGGCAGGCCUAAUACAUGCAAGUCGAGGGGCAGCAGGAAUAGCAAUAUUUGCUGGCGACCGGCACACGGGUGCGUAACACGUAUACAAUCUGCCUUUAACAGGGGGAUAGCCCGGAGAAAUCCGGAUUAAUACCCCAUAACACUUUAGUUAGCAUUAACAGAAGUUGAAAGCUCCGGCGGUUAAAGAUGAGUAUGCGUCUGAUUAGCUAGAUGGUGAGGUAAUGGCUCACCAAGGCGACGAUCUCUAGCUGGUCUGAGAGGAUGAUCAGCCACACUGGAACUGAGACACGGUCCAGACUCCUACGGGAGGCAGCAGUGGGGAAUAUUGCACAAUGGGCGCAAGCCUGAUGCAGCCAUGCCGCGUGUGUGAAGAAGGCCCUGGGGUUGUAAAGCACUUUCAGCAGUGAGGAAAGGUUAUAAGUUAAUACCUUAUAACUGUGACGUUAACUGCAGAAGAAACCCCGGCUAACUCCGUGCCAGCCGCCGCGGUAAUAC
rnacentral:rRNA from 1 species